rnacentral:lncRNA from 1 species
CGGACUAUAUUACACAGUGAGGACGGACUAUAUUACACAGUGAGGACGGACUAUAUUACACAGUGAGGACGGACUAUAUUACACAGUGAGGACGGACUAUAUUACACAGUGAGGACGGACUAUAUGACACAGUGAGGACGGACUAUAUGACACAGUGAGGACGGACUAUAUGACACAGUGAGGACGGACUAUAUGACACAAUGAGGACGGACUAUAUGACACAGUGAGGACGGACUAUAUGACACAGUGAGGACGGACUAUAUGACACAUGAGGGACGGACUAUAUUACACAGUGAGGAC